GGGGUGUAUUUUCUAUGUGGGAGAUGCUGUCUUACCAUUGCUGCUGCUACCUGCUUUCCAGAGUCUUUCAUCAAUGAAGGAAAGUGGCUGGGCUAUAUCCAUCGAAAUUUUGCUGGAAACAUAUUUUCUGAUCACGUAGCCCUUUUAUCAGUAUUCCAAGCCUGGGAUGAUGCUAGAAUGGGUGGAGAAGAAGCAGACAUACGUUUUUGUGAGCACAAAAGACUUAAUAUGGCCACACUAAGAAUGACAUGGGAAGCCAAAGUUCAACUCAAAGUGAUUUUGAUUAAUUCUGGGUUUCCAGAAGAUUGUUUGUUGACACAAGUGUUUACUAACACUGGACCAGAUAAUAAUUUGGAUGUUGUUAUCUCCCUCCUGGCCUUUGGUGUGUACCCCAAUGUAUGCUAUCAUAAGGAAAAGAGAAAGAUUCUCACCACUGAAGGACGUAAUGCACUUAUCCACAAAUCAUCUGUUAAUUGUCCUUUUAGUGGCCAAGACAUGAAGUACCCAUCUCCCUUCUUUGUAUUUGGUGAAAAGAUUCGAACUCGAGCCAUCUCUGCUAAAGGCAAGACUUUAGUCACACCUCUGCAGUUGCUUCUGUUUGCCUCCAAGAAAGUCCAAUCUGAUGGGCAGAUUGUACUUGUAGAUGACUGGAUUAAACUACAAAUAUCUCAUGAAGCUGCUGCCUGUAUCACCGGUCUCCGGGCAGCCAUGGAGGCUCUGGUUGUUGAAGUAACCAAACAACCUGCUAUCAUCAGCCAGUUGGACCCUGUAAAUGAACAUAUGCUGAACAUGAUCCGUCAAAUCUCUAGACCCUCAGCUGCUGGUAUCAACCUUAUGAUUGACAGUACACAGUAUGGAGAUGAUCCACGUCCUCCCAAGAUGGCCCGAUAUGACAAUGGAAGUGGAUAUAGAAGCGGAGGUUCUAGUUACAGUGGUGGAGGCUAUGGCGGUGGCUAUACCAGUGGAGGAUAUGGUGGUGGAGGCUAUGGUAGUGGAGGCUAUGGUGGCAACCCCAACUCCUUUUGGGCAGGACAUGGCGCAGGUGUUGGUGGAGGCUAUAGAGGAGUUACCCGAGGUGGCUUUAGAGGCAACUCUGGAGGAGACUACAGAGGGCCUAGUGGAGGCUACAGAGGAUCUGGUGGAUUCCAGUGA